rnacentral:rRNA from 1 species
ACGCUCGACACCUACGAGAGGCAGCAGUGGGGAAUAUUGCACAAUGGGGGAAACCCUGAUGCAGCGACGCCGCGUGAGUGAAGAAGUAUUUCGGUAUGUAAAGCUCUAUCAGCAGGGAAGAAGAUGACGGUACCUGAGUAAGAAGCCCCGGCUAACUACGCGCCAGCAGCCGCGGUAAUCUGAGCGGGCUGGCAAGGC